rnacentral:rRNA from 1 species
GAUGAACGCUGGCGGCGUGCCUAAUACAUGCAAGUCGAGCGAACAGACGAGGAGCUUGCUCCUCUGACGUUAGCGGCGGACGGGUGAGUAACACGUGGAUAACCUCCCUAUAAGACUGGGAUAACUUCGGGAAACCGGAGCUAAUACCGGAUAAUAUAUUGAACCGCAUGGUUCAAUAGUGAAAGACGGUUUUGCUGUCACUUAUAGAUGGAUCCGCGCCGCAUUAGCUAGUUGGUAAGGUAACGGCUUACCAAGGCUACGAUGCGUAGCCGACCUGAGAGGGUGAUCGGCCACACUGGAGCUGAGACACGGUCCAGACUCCUACGGGAGGCAGCAGUAGGGAAUCUUCCGCAGUGGGCGAAAGCCUGACGGAGCAACGCCGCGUGAGUGAUGAAGGUCUUCGGAUCGUAAAACUCUGUUAUUAGGGAAGAACAAAUGUGUAAGUAACUAUGCACGUCUUGACGGUACCUAAUCAGAAAGCAACGGCUAACUACGUG